rnacentral:lncRNA from 1 species
GCGGAACCAUAAGGCGCAUUGCUUGUAGGCAUAUGUCCUUGAGGACCAGCAGCACCUCUAGACUGUGCAUCAUAGUUGACACCUCGGGAUGGAUCGUAACCGGGUCCUCUUUGCACUUCAUAAUUUGGUCUUUGUACAUCAUAUCCAGGUCUCUGUGCAUCAUAGGGAGCUCCUCUUUGUGCAUCAUAACCAGGUCCUCUCUGUGCAUCAUAACCAGAUCCUCCAGAGGCAUCAUAACCAGGCCCUCUUGGUGCAUCAUAAACAGUCCUUCCAGGUGGUCCAGGUUGAGCUCCCACUAAUGGAGGAGUUCCAGCAGCUGUAGCACCACCACCUGCAGCAGCAGCAGGAGGAGGGAAGGGGGCACGUC